rnacentral:lncRNA from 1 species
GAGGAGAGAGAAAGUCCACAUCUGGCUUGGUAGUCUGCUGAGGUGGAGAGAAGGGGCGUCGGCCAGUCCCCUCCCCAACUUGGGGAGGAUGGCGACCUGAGGUAGGGGAGAGGAAGGGCGAUUUGACCAGAUAUGCUUCCUGUCCAUCGGCUGCUCAGUGAGAAAUGCCUUGGCUGCCUGCCUGUCAUCUCUCUCGAAGGACAUCAGGGUUCUGAGGCUUCGAUGGGUGUGUGGGGUUUCACGUCUAGAAGCCUUCUUCCCCCACUGGGGGCUGCCCUUGGUUGA